ensembl:lncRNA
UGUAGCAUGUGUUGGGAUGAGGCCAGAUGGACAGCCGUGAUCCUAUUACCUCUGUUACUUCUCACCGUUGUGUGUCUGCCACCAGAUCCGGCAUUUCCCAAAGCAGACAGCACACAUGGACAGCUUUCUUCUGCUCAUUAACACCGAACAGACCUGAGUUCGCUAACAGGACUGAACACGGUUCAUGGCAAAUGAAGCACGCUGCAAGCCGUGUGUGUGUGUAGUGUGAGCGAGAGUCAUUGGUGUAUGUGUGGGUGUGUGGAGAGAGAGAGAGAGACACAUAGACUGAGCCCCUAACACGGAGCAUGCCUCUGCGUCCGGCAGCCGGCAAACAUGAGCCACCCAGCCCUCCAUGGCAGGACCAGCAGCAGCAGCAGCAGCACACACACACCCACUCACACACACUCACACACCCUUACACACACACAGCAAACGGCAGCCAGGGGGCCAGCACUGACAGCAGCAGCUCCCGGGAAGAGGACAGCGGCGCUCCUGUUCCUGUCGGUGUUCCGGCUUUCUGUCCCGGUGCACAGCGGAGUCACAGUGCAAGAGCACCCAUGGAGGAACCCACAGGCAAUACUGUGGUCAUCCGCAUUGGUAUCCCAGACCUACAACAGACGUUCCCUGAAGAUGCAGUCUGUCUUUUUUAGUAUGGACUCCAGGAGAAAGAAAAUGUGAAACCAUUAGACUGUGGCAUUGAUCCUUUCUUCCUUUUAUUUCCCUGUUUUCAGUAUUGAGCAUGUACUGACCCUCCCUUAAGAAAACCACUGUGCCUAUACUGAGUGGGGUCUAUUUGUUAUCUGCAGACUGUGGUAUGAAACAGAUUCCAAGCUUAAUACAUUUUUCAGGCUGUGCUAUUGUAGCUCAUACGUAUUGAGCUACAGCUAUUCUGUCACGUUUCUGUAACUGUGUAGGGAAUUCAGCAGAGGCCAUGUUAAUGAAAUGCGUGUUUUGGCUCUACCCGUUUUAUGUUCUUCAUUCGUUAAAUAAAUACAAUAUUCCCCUGAAAAUGUCCUUUUGCACGUUGCAAUGGUCUUGAACAGAAAUCAAUGGUCUGGAACCGCACAUAAAUGCAUGGAAGAAGAAACAUUUUACCUAUAUUUUGCCUGACAAUUAAAUCAAGUUUUAUCAGUUCAACUGAUGUAUGUCUUCUCGGUUAAAGUCAAUUUUUAUUUGUACAGUGCCCAAUCACAACAUACAUUAUCAAUCUGUCUAUCCCUGCUCUCUCUCUCCUUGACAGAAGCACACGUAAGGUCACGCUAUGAGAGAGGCACCACAUGACUUUUUCCAUGUAACAACACAGCAUUAAGUUUUUUCAUUACUAAUGUGCCUCUGUGUCAAGCCACUCCUCCUCAUCUGCUCCCACAUUUUCUCUGUUGACACCCUCUACUAAUGGCAAAGCAAAACACAGAUUAAACCCCGACAGUCAGUCAGUGCCCACGCGUGCUAAGGUCGUCAGUUGGCUUUCUGUCUGUGGCUUAUUUUGUGUGCGCAUUAUUCUUUAUCCAGUCACUGAUGGUGAAAGCAAGGAGCUGUUUGUUCGUUAUUCUUGAUUACCUCAUUGUUGUUGGCUACUUGGCUGAAAUGACCCAUUGUUGUCCUAGUGAAGCUCCAGCGCUGCAUGCCUGAAAUAAAGACAGGAAAUAAAAAGAGAGCGCUUGAAAGGAAAGCGAAGAAUUCCCCAAAGGUGCUGCACAAUCACUGUCUGUGAACAAAAACGUUUUUCAGUUUUCAGUUAAGCUCACACGCAUGCACACUUGCACAUACACACACACACACACACACACACACACACACAAGCCUGUGUCAUAUCUAUAGAAACAAUCACGCCUAAUCAUUCUCUGACACGUUCAUAAGUGUGCAUGCAUGUGCGCACACAUAUGCCAUUAAGUCCUAACCCUAUUACCAUGGGACUUCCCUUAAUGUGAUUAUGUAAUUUAAAGAUGCUCAACAGAUCAUUAGUUUCAGUUUCAAGGAGUCACAUUCAGUUUGAUAUACGGACAACAGCCAAGAACACAUACAGGGUGACACAAUGACAGACGAAGAGACAAACAUAGAUACAAAGCCUGAAAGUCUGAAAGACAAACAGAAGCAGAGGACAGAUGGUCAAACUUUGACAGUUUUAAUCUUUUAUGGAGUACUCAAAAGUGACUUUUGUGUACUCUGAGUUAGCAGGAGAUUACACUAGAAUAGUCCGCUUGAAGUGGGAUUACACAUCUCCUGCUUUGUUUCAAGCCAGGAUGAGGAGAGUGAAGCACCGUGCAAAGAUCACACCAGGCAACUCUUCCUCUUACCAGCAGAAGAGAAGGGAGGAGCAACAGGUCAUGUUGGGAGAAGCCACAUCCUAAAAUCUUUACACUUUCUUUUUUAAAUCCCGGCAGGUUACGUCAAAUGGCCAAUAUAUUUUUUUCCUAGCUAAUUAGUCUGAAGCAUUGUUAUGAUUAUAUUACUAUUCUUGGGGGUGAAUUAACAUACUCAAUGAUUUUAGUAUAAAAGGUUCAAGGUUCAAGGUUUCUGUUUUUGCACCCAAGGGUAGAUUUGUUGUGCAGAUACGAAAUUCAGCAUUGAAGAGUUAAG